UGCAUGAGUGAUGGAGGAGAAGGGAGGUACGAAGAAAGAUGGGAGGGAGUCGUAGGCGCAUUCUGGGGAGGAAAGAGGAGCCGCGCGGAAAAUACAACAAGUGAGGAAACUGUUGCUCUGCAUGCAAGCUCGCUUUGCGGCGGAAGUCUCGUCAACUUGUCAGAAUUGAAGUCACUCAUUAAAGUGACAUUCAUCCAUUCGUUUCCACCGUGUUUCUUGCCAUAGUUCUUUUUAAAUAGUUAAAAAAAAAAAAAAAAAGCAAGUUUGCAUCGCAGCUCAACUUCAGUCGGCGCACUCGUUUGGAGGUUUUUAUUCCUGCAUCAUGAGGGAGGAAACGAACGAACACCCACGAUCAUAAAGAUUGCCGUGAUGUCCAAAACGGCUUC